UGGGUUAUCGUCUAAUGGUAAGGACGCAUCCCUGAUAAGGAUGUAAUCCCAGUUCAAUUCUGGGUAACCCAA
rnacentral:tRNA from 1 species